rnacentral:rRNA from 1 species
CGUGGCCUACGGGAGGCAGCAGUGGGGAAUAUUGCACAAUGGGGGAAACCCUGAUGCAGCGACGCCGCGUGAGUGAGGAAGUAUUUCGGUAUGUAAAGCUCUAUCAGCAGGGAAGAAAAUGACGGUACCUGACUAAGAAGCCCCGGCUAACUACGUGCCAGCAGCCGCGGUAAUACGUAGGUGGCAAGCGUUGUCCGGAUUUACUGGGUGUAAAGGGCGUGCAGCCGGAGAGACAAGUCAGAUGUGAAAUCCACGGGCUCAACCCGUGAACUGCAUUUGAAACUGUUUCCCUUGAGUGUCGGAGG